rnacentral:lncRNA from 1 species
GUACGUGACUAACGUUGGGAUUUGAUGAGUUUUUCAUGACCUCCAUCUAGUCGAGACUCAUGAUAGAAGGACUGAAUCACACUAUAACUACACCUAAGGGUUCAUUAUUUCAUUCUGCUGGAUUGCCACUAUAUGCUGCUAGAUGUCACUAGUGGAUUAUGGGACUCAUCUAGCAUCGUCUUGAUAAUCGAUGACCCUUGAAGUAUAGAGUUAAAAUUGUUCUAAUCCAUCAAAAGAAGUUUUGAUGAUAUUAUGAUGGAAAUCAUAAUAUAUCUCACUACUAGAUAAAGUGAAACCUAUGAGAUCACACAUAAAAGAGGUUCUUGUUCGAUC